UACGGGGGGGGCAAGCGUUGUUCGGAAUUACUGGGCGUAAAGGGCUCGUAGGCGGCCAACUAAGUCGGAUGUGAAAUCCCCAGGCUCAACCUGGGAACUGCGUCCGAUACUGGAUGGCUUGAAUCCGGGAGAGGGAUGCAGAAUUCCAGGUGUAGCGGUGAAAUGCGUAGAUAUCUGGAGGAAUACCGGUGGCGAAGGCGGCAUCCUGGACCGGCAUUGACGCUGAGGAGCGAAAGCCAGGGGAGCAAACGGG
rnacentral:rRNA from 1 species